rnacentral:rRNA from 1 species
AUGGACGCGACCAACAAGGCGACCGGGCACGGCGGCGCCACCGGCCCCGCGGGGAACCACGGCGGGGCUCCUGCCGGUGCUGGUGCCGGGGGCGUGCAGCAGCUCCAGGCGACGAGGGACGACCGCAAGACCGACGGUGGCCUGGGCCGUUCCGGCGGGCCCACGGGGAACCACGCUUCCCGGCGCCGGCGGGCAGCAGUGAGAGCGUCGAGUCACUGA